rnacentral:rRNA from 1 species
UACGAAGGGGGCUAGCGUUGCUCGGAAUUACUGGGCGUAAAGGGCGCGUAGGCGGCGCUCCAAGUUAGGCGUGAAAGUCCUGGGCUCAACCUGGGAACUGCGCUUGAUACUGGAGUGCUUGAGGAUGGAAGAGGGUUGUGGAAUUCCCAGUGUAGAGGUGAAAUUCGUAGAUAUUGGGAAGAACACCGGUGGCGAAGGCGGCAACCUGGUCCAUUACUGACGCUGAGGAGCGAAAGCGUGGGUAGCGAACAGG